GAUGAACGCUGGCGGCGUGCCUAAUACAUGCAAGUCGAGCGAAUGGAUUGAGAGCUUGCUCUUAUGAAGUUAGCGGCGGACGGGUGAGUAACACGUGGGUAACCUGCCCAUAAGACUGGGAUAACUCCGGGAAACCGGGGCUAAUACCGGAUAACAUUUUGAACCGCAUGGUUCGAAAUUGAAAGGCGGCUUCGGCUGUCACUUAUGGAUGGACCCGCGUCGCAUUAGCUAGUUGGUGAGGUAACGGCUCACCAAGGCAACGAUGCGUAGCCGACCUGAUAGGGUGCUCGGCCACACUGGGACUGAGACACGGCCCAGACUACUACGAGAGGCAGCAGUAGGGGAUCUUCCGCAAUGGACGAAAGUCUGACGGAGCAACGCCGCGUGAGUGAUGAAGUCUUUCGGGUCGUAAAACUCUGUUGUUAAGGAAGAACAAGUGCUAGUUGAAUAAGCUGGCACCUUGACGGUACCUAACCAGAAAGCCACGGCUAACUACGUGCCAGCCGCCGCCGUAA
rnacentral:rRNA from 1 species